GGUGCCUCAAGUGAAACUGUUGUAAUUCAAUUAAAGGAGUCAACAUGUGCUCUGAUUUCUCUACAUCACUUCCUGUCCCUCCUUCUGAUCCACAAAGCACAGCAGAGACUCUGACUGGUUCUCCACAUUCAACAUGAAGCCGUCUCAUCUCAUCGUCUCCAUCCUUACUUUGUUCUGGAUUAAAGGAGUUCACCUCAAUGAAGAAAAACAAGUAAUUCAGACUCCACCUGAACUGUUCAUGAAUCCAGAUGAUCAAUCCAAGCUGAGCUGUUCACAUCGGAUCCCCAGCUAUACCAUGAUUUUCUGGUACCAGCGCUCACCAGGAGACACUGCCCUGAAGCUGAUUGGAUAUAUGUGGAAUAAAAAUCCUACUGUUGAGCCAUCAUUUCAGAGCCACUUUAAUGUGAGUGGAGAUGGAGCGAAAGAAGCUUAUCUUCACAUCCUGAAAGCGAGACACCCUGAAGACAGUGGAGAAUAUUUUGCAGCAGCAACACAGCAGAGACUCUGACUGGUUCUCCAC